rnacentral:rRNA from 1 species
CUCCUACGGGAGGCAGCAGUAAGGAAUAUUGGUCAAUGGACGCAAGUCUGAACCAGCCAUGCCGCGUGGAGGAUUAAGGCCCUCUGGGUUGUAAACUCCUUUUAUCUGGGAAGAAAUGUACUUUUUCUUGAGUACUUGACGGUACCAGAGGAAUAAGCACCGGCUAACUCCGUGCCAGCAGCCGCGGUAAUACGGAGGGUGCAAGCGUUAUCCGGAUUCACUGGGUUUAAAGGGUGCGUAGGCGGGCAGGUAAGUCAGUGGUGAAAUCUCCGAGCUUAACUCGGAAACUGCCGUUGAUACUACUUGUCUUGAAUAUUGUGGAGGUAAGCGGAAUAUGUCAUGUAGCGGUGAAAUGCUUAGAUAUGACAUAGAACACCAAUUGCGAAGGCAGCUUACUACACAAUCAUUGACGCUGAGGCACGAAAGCGUGGGGAUCAAACAGGAUUAGAUACCCUGGUAGUCCACGCCCUAAACGAUGAUUACUCGACGUGUGCGAUACACUGUCAGCGUCUGAGCGAAAGCAUUAAGUAAU